GAUGAACGCUGGCGGCGUGCCUAAUACAUGCAAGUCGAGCGAACGGACGCGAAGCUUGCUUCUCCGAUGUUAGCGGCGGACGGGUGAGUAACACGUGGAUAACCUACCUAUAAGACUGGGAUAACUUCGGGAAACCGUAGCUAAUACCGGAUAAUAUUUUGAACCGCAUGGUUCAAAAGUGAAAGACGGUCUUGCUGUCACUUAUAGAUGGAUCCGCGCUGCAUUAGCUAGUUGGUAAGGUAACGGCUUACCAAGGCAACGAUGCAUAGCCGACCUGAGAGGGGGAUCGGCCACACUGAAACUGAGACACGGUCCAGACUCCUACGGAAGGCAGCAGUAGGGAAGCGUCCGCAAUGGGCGAAAGCCUGACGGAGCAACGCCGCGUGAGUGAUGAAGGGCUUCGUAUCGUAAAACUCUGUUAGUAGUGAAGAACAUAUGUGUAAGUAACUGUGCACAUCUUGACGGUACCUAAUCAGAAAGCCACGGCUAACUACGUG
rnacentral:rRNA from 1 species